rnacentral:rRNA from 1 species
AGUGAACGCUGGCGGUAGGCCUAACACAUGCAAGUCGAACGGCAGCACAGUAAGAGCUUGCUCUUACGGGUGGCGAGUGGCGGACGGGUGAGGAAUACAUCGGAAUCUACUUUUUCGUGGGGGAUAACGUAGGGAAACUUACGCUAAUACCGCAUACGACCUACGGGUGAAAGCAGGGGAUCUUCGGACCUUGCGCGAUUGAAUGAGCCGAUGUCGGAUUAGCUAGUUGGCGGGGUAAAGGCCCACCAAGGCGACGAUCCGUAGCUGGUCUGAGAGGAUGAGCAGCCACACGGGAACUGACACACGGUCCAGACUCCCACGGGGGGCAGCAGUGGGGAAUAUUGGACAAUGGGCGAAAGCCUGAUCCAGCCAUACCGGGUGGGUGAAGAAGGCCUUCGGGUUGUAAAGCCCUUUUGUUGGGAAAAAAAAGCAGCAGGUUAAUACCCCGCUGUUCUGGCGGUACCCAAAGAAUAAGCCCCGGCUAACUUCGU